GCACCUUCCGAUACGGCUACCUUGUUACGACUUCACCCCAGUCAUUGACCACUCCGUGGUAAGCGUCCUCCUUGCGGUUAGACUACCUACUUCUGGCGGAACCCGCUCCCAUGGUGUGACGGGCGGUGUGUACAAGACCCGGGAACGUAUUCACCGCAGCAUGCUGAUCUGCGAUUACUAGCGAUUCCGACUUCACGCAGGCGAGUUGCAGCCUACGAUCCGGACUACGAUCGGCUUUCUGGGAUUGGCUCCACCUCGCGGCUUGGCAACCCUCUGUACCGACCAUUGUAUGACGUGUGAAGCCCUACCCAUAAGGGCCAUGAGGACUUGACGUCAUCCCCACCUCCCUCCGGUUUGUCACCGGCAGUCUCAUUAGAGUGCCCUUUC
rnacentral:rRNA from 1 species